GACAGAGGGUGCAAACGUUGUUCGGAAUUACUGGGCGUAAAGCGCGUGUAGGCGGCUAAGUAAGUCGGGCGUGAAAUCCCACGGCUCAACCGUGGAAGUGCACUCGAAACUGCAUAGCUAGAGUCCUGGAGAGGAAGGUGGAAUGCUUGGUGUAGAGGUGAAAUUCGUAGAUAUCAAGCGGAACACCGGUGGCGAAGGCGGCCUCUGGACAGUGACUGACGCUGAGGUGCGAAAGCG
rnacentral:rRNA from 1 species